GCUACCAACAGUUGAAAUUUUGUUAACAAAGUGUUGGUCUUCUAAUUGAUGUAAGCUUAAGUUUGUGUAAGUUAAUAAGAUGUCAUUUUCGGAAUUUCACCAACAUUUCCGCUAAAACUUUUCAAUUUUUCUUCAAUUGUUGAGAAUGAAUAUCCAUGCAAUGUUGGUUUGUACGGUAUUGUUUGGCUGUAUUUGGAUUCGUUUUGUGUCACUUUAUCAGGUGCAUCCUAAAAUGUACGGUCGAAGAAUCAAUAACAGAUGUUGGACCUGGAGAUGAUUUUAACUCUUUUAAUGGCCCAAAAGAUUCAUUCAAUACAAAAGAUAUGUUUCCGCUUUUUGCGGGCUCCGAGUUGGUUUUUGCAUUGGACCAGUUUU